rnacentral:rRNA from 1 species
UACGUAGGGUGCAAGCGUUUGUCCGGAAUUAUUGGGCGUAAAGAGCUCGUAGGCGGUUUGUUGCGUCGGCUGUGAAAUCCCGAGGCUCAACCUCGGGUCUGCAGUCGAUACGAGCAAACUAGAGUGUUGCAGGGGAGACUGGAAUUCCUGGUGUAGCGGUGAAAUGCGCAGAUAUCAGGAGGAACACCGGUGGCGAAGGCGGUUCUCUGGGAAUUACCUGACGCUGAGGAGCGAAAGUGUGGGGAGCGAACAGGA